rnacentral:tRNA from 7 species
GUCCCCAUCGUCUAGAGGCCUAGGACACCACCCUUUCACGGUGGGUACGGGGGUUCGAAUCCCCCUGGGGACGCCA